rnacentral:rRNA from 1 species
UGGCUGGGGGUGAAAGGCCAAUCAAACCGGGAGAUAGCUGGUUCUCCCCGAAAGCUAUUUAGGUAGCGCCUCGUGAAUUCAUCUUCGGGGGUAGAGCACUGUUUCGGCUAGGGGGUCAUCCCGACUUACCAACCCGAUGCAAACUACGAAUACCGAAGAAUGUUAUCACGGGAGACACACGGCGGGUGCUAACGUCCGUCGUGAAGAGGGAAACAACCCAGACCGCCAGCUAAGGUCCCAAAGUCAUGGUUAAGUGGGAAACGAUGUGGGAAGGCACAGACAGCCAGGAUGUUGGCUUAGAAGCAGCCAUCAUUUAAAGAAAGCGUAAUAGCUCACUGGUCGAGUCGGCCUGCGCGGAAGAUGUAACGGGGCUAAACCAUGCACCGAAGCUGCGGCAGCGACACUAUGUGUUGUUGGGUAGGGGAGCGUUCUGUAAGCCUGCGAAGGUGUGCUGUGAGGCAUGCUGGAGGUAUCAGAAGUGCGAAUGCUGACAUAAGUAACGAUAAAGCGGGUGAAAAGCCCGCUCGCCGGAAGACCAAGGGUUCCUGUCCAACGUUAAUCGGGGCAGGGUGAGUCGACCCCUAAGGCGAGGCCGAAAGGCGUAGUCGAUGGGAAACAGGUUAAUAUUCCUGUACUUGGUGUUACUGCGAAGGGGGGACGGAGAAGGCUAUGUUAGCCGGGCGACGGUUGUCCCGGUUUAAGCAUGUAGGCUG